rnacentral:lncRNA from 1 species
UUCCCUUACCUCAAGGUCCUCGCCAAAAUGGAGAUCCCCGUCCCUGCUCCCCAACCUGGCCCCUCUUCUUCCACCGCCAUCGCCUCCACAUCACAGCUCCGGCAUGCAGCUCCGAGUGCCUCUGUCUCUGCUGGGUCUAAUUGCCUCCGCCCGACGUCGGGCUCUAUAGGUCAGCAGUUCUUCUUCACCUAGGUCGACUGCUUCCUUAGAUUUUGCAGAGCACCAUUCUAUGCAGUAAAAAAAUGGUUGCAGCCCAAAGUGUCGAUUUUCAGCAGGGCAAUCUGUUCAUUGACUAGUUUUGUGCGUUCAAAAAAUAGUAGGACAAAAGUUGAUGAAUCAAUUUUGUAUAGUAAAAACAGUGGGCCACUUGCUUCAUACUUGUGUUAUUUGAUUUUUGAAUAACAGAAGUUCUCUUCUUUGUCUGCAGAAAACCCCAGUAUAUCACAUUUGUUUGUCGUUAUGGUCUGAAAAAUGGCAUUUUUGCAGGUCAGUUUUGCCUGAUGCAUCAAUUCAGUUGCAAAAAAAGAAGAGCAUUAUACCUUGUUGUCUAAUCCGCUGCCUUCUUUUUCUAUACUAUGUAGGUCAACUUCGCCUGAUGCGUCAGUUCAAUUUCAUAGUGCAUGAUAGGCAUGAUCCAGUAACCAUGGCAUUCCAUCCCCACAGGCCAACGCUGGCCGUCAACCCAACUACAGCUGUCCCCGGCCACCACACAAGCACUGUUAGGAAUAAGCCACACGGUGGCUGUGGUGGCGAGUGUGCGUGCUGGUGGAACUGGGCAUCAGCCGUGUCGAGUCUAUAGGUGUGCGUUGUGUACGUAGUUUGAGUUAGACUCUAGUUUAUUAGUGCAUGCAAGAUUGGUCAAGUCAUGGAGUUAGUUAGUGGCUGUGAGAAAUGGCCCUAGAGUUAGCCCAUGCAUUAGUUUGUUACUAGACUAGUUGUGCAUGGUGGGCGUGGCAUGAGUUUAGGAUUAGUUGGUAAUGGUGAUACUCUUGUAAUGCCUAUUUAAGUUGAGUAUGUGAAUGAAAGCUGGGUGUGGGCUGAGAAAACAAUGUAGUGCUUGUGGGUGCCAAGGGAGAGUCUCGGCAAAGCCUGUG